CUUCUGACGGACCAAGAACGCAUUCCAAGCUGCGUAAAUGCGCACGCAAAUCGCACUCUGUUAAGACACUUUUGGGUGACCUGGGCACAGAGGGUGCGCCAACUCUCCAAAUCCAAAAUCAACAAAGAAAGACAAAGAAGUCAUUUUUGCGUGUGUGUGCGCGCAGGGACGCGUUUUGGCGCCUGGAGCCGAGCAGCCUGAGCCAGACAAGCCAGGAGGAGCCUCUCCCCGUGCCGUCGCGUCCCAGCCUGGGAUGCUGUGAGGCUGCAUGUCGCUGGAGACUAGAGGAGGAGUCCGGGAAGAGAAAGAGGAAAGACCUCCUGAAACAUGGAGAGGACGCGGCCAAAGUGAGAGCCUUCCCAGAACACCUUGCCACAU